rnacentral:rRNA from 1 species
CCCGAGAAAAGAAGAGCUAAAUAUAAACCUGUUUUAGAAGAAAAGAUAGUUAUGUAGAAGUAUGGCUUGUAGAUUUAUAUUUAGGGGCGAAAUACCCUCAAUUCUUUAGAUAUCUGGAUGCUUUCGAAAGGUAUAAAGUACCGCCUUUAAGGUUAGACAUGGAACUCUGAGGUUUUAUGUGGUUAGGAUUUUUAUUGGACAUAAAGUUUUAGGGAUAACACCCCAAAAAGUUUUUUAGUUAAAAAUUAAUUUUAAAGAGAAUCUAGGAAGUAGAAAGUUUCGAACCUAAAUUAAAGGGUUUGUAAUAAAUGUAAAAAUGAGUAAUAAUAAAUUUUAUAAUAAUUAAAAAGUUUAAAUUUAAUUAAAAAAAUAUAAUAUAAUAAAACAAGUUUAAGGAACUCGGCAAAAAUUGGCUUCGACUAGUUUAACAAAAACAUAGCCUAAAGUAUACAUUUUAGGUGAAAUCUGCUCAGUGUAAUCUUAUAAAUAGCCGCGGUACUUUGACCGUGCUAAGGUAGCGUAAUCAGUUGGCUUUUAAAUGGAGUCGGGUAUGAAUGAAAACACGGAGCUAAGCUGUCUCAAAUUUGUUUCAUUGAAUUUACUGUGUAGAUGAAAAAGUCUAUAGAAUAAAAAAAGACGAGAAGACCCUUAGAAUUUUUACAAAAUUAAAGAUAUAUUUAAAAUGUUUUUGUUGGGGCAACAUAGAAACAAAAAACUUUCUAGAAAAAUUAUAUGACGAUUAUAAUAAGAGUGGUUAAAUUACCUGAGGGAUAACAGCAUAAUCUCAAAAUUUGGUUUGUGACCUCGAUGUUGGACUAGGAAAUUGGUAGACUAGCCGUUUAUCAUAUUGGUUCUGUUCGAACUUAUUUUCCUACAUGAUCUGAGUUCAGACCGGCGUAAGCCAGGUCAGAUUCUAUCUUUUUAUUUUCGCCUUCAGUACGAAAGGACCGAGGUGU